rnacentral:sRNA from 1 species
CUCUGCCAGCCCUGAGCUGGGAAGAAGCAGCUACCUCGGAGGUAGGGCGCGCAGGCGGGCGGCGAUGAGAGGGGGCGCAGCCGCAGCCCCGAGCUGGGGAGCCCACCGCUAACCCUGCACCCCACCCACCCCUGCACAAAAGAGCUGGCGGGCGCUGGCCACGUCGCCCUGGGUGACCUUCCUCGCAUGCAGAAUCCGCCCCUGCGAGCAUCCUCUUCCUCCCAGGCUCUGAAGGCCUGGGGAGCGUGAGCGAUGCCCAGCUGCACCCAGGCAGGGCUCGCCUUUGUUUGCCAGUAAGGAGGAGAGGCUGUCUCAGCUGCAGAGGGGUCAUCCCUGCUUCAAGCCAGUGCCUCUUCCCAGCUCCCAUGGGGACCACUGAAGCCACGCUCCGGAUGGAAAACGUGGACGUGAAGGAGGAAUGGCAGGACGAAGAUCUUCCCAGGGCCACGGAGGGGAUCUCCAGGUCUAGAGAGUCUGCGGUUCUCCUGGAGCUUGCAGAAGUAACAGGAUCUCACCUGACCUUGGAAACUGCAGCUCCAUGAACAGGU